rnacentral:tRNA from 2 species
GCGGGGGUUGCCGAGCGGAAAAGGCGCUGGAUUUAGGGUCCAGUCCCGUAGGGGUUCGGGGGUUCGAAUCCCUCCCCCCGCA